rnacentral:rRNA from 1 species
UGCGAGUGAAGCGGCAACAGCUCAAAUUUGAAAUCUGGCCUUUGGCCCGGAUUGUAAUUUGUAGAAGGUGCUUCGGGCGCGACCCCGGUCCAAGUCCCUUGGAACAGGGCGUCCCAGAGGGUGAGAAUCCCGUAUCGGCUGAUGGUCAAGCCCGUGUGAAGCCCUUUCGACGAGUCGAGUUGUUUGGGAAUGCAGCUCUAAGUGGGUGGUAAAUUUCAUCUAAAGCUAAAUAUCUGUCGGAGACCGAUAGCGCACAAGUAGAGUGAUCGAAAGAUGAAAAGCACUUUGAAAAGAGAGUCAAACAGUACGUGAAAUUGUUGAAAGGGAAGCGCUUGCAACCAGACUCGCUCGCGGGUGCUCAGCCGUCCCUCGGGGCGGUGCACUCUCCCGCGAUCGGGCCAGCAUCGGUUCUGGCGGCUGGAUAAAGGCUCUGGGAACGUAGCUCUCUUCGGGGAGUGUUAUAGCCCGGGGUGCAAUGCGGCCAGCCGGGACCGAGGACCGCGCAUUCGCUAGGAUGCUGGCGUAAUGGUUGCCAGCGACCCGUCUUGAAACAC